rnacentral:lncRNA from 1 species
GUGAUGGUAUCAUCAUGGCUAUACAUGAAGAGCAAUGUAUGACCCUGGACACCAAAUGAUCCAAAGGAAAACCAAGACUUUUGGAGUGAGGAUACUUCCUGAAGGAUGCAAGUCUAAUAUAUAUCAGUAUACAGGCAUUGUCCUCUCUUGUGGACUGGUACUGAUUGCUUGGGGCCAUUCGGGCCCCAGGCAAGAAUUCCCAGCUCCCCCAAAAACAUGGUAAAGUUAUACUUGUUUCCCUCAAACAACUUACAUUUAUUUAACCCUAUGAAAUGUCCCAAAUAUUUUCAUUAAUUCAUUGGACCAAUGAAUAUUUUAUUGAUUAUAUGAAGUAAUAGUCAUUGUUAUAACCAUGUAGGAUACAAACCAAUAGAACAGAUUCUGCCUUCAGAUACAUACCUUUAUAAGAUAAACUACUAAGUAUAAUAAACAACAGGCUAAGGACUGGGUUGGUCUUGGUGUUAGGAAGGACAGAUAAUUAUCUUCCUUUCUCACACAGAUUUACACAGAUAUUGAAGGAUUUGCAUAACGUUGUAUGUCUGAUAACUUAAGUCCUCCUAACCUCAAAAAUUCACUUUUUCAUUAUAUCAAUCCUGCAUGCUUCAGUCAAAAACAUAAAAGUACAUACCUCCUGAGUAGGUAACAACUAAUUUUAUCCUUUUAUGACCAAGAAAGGGAAAACUCCUUAGCCCUUGGAAGUCUCACUGGAGAGCUCUUAGGCCUUGAAAAACCACCCCCUUUAAGAAUAGGGUCUCAAGGUUUGACAAAUACUAAGCACUCAUUAAACACUCCCAAUACCCAUUCUUUAACAGCUAAUCAAAUGUGAUACAUAUCCUGAGGCCCCCAGAAAACUGAAUCCUCAACACUGUGAGGCCAUUUGUCCUUGGUCCUUGGUAUCAGAGAGAGAAGAACCAGAUGAGUUUGAAAGUGAUGCUGAAAAUGGCCUAGAGUCAAGUAGGUAAAAAUGUGAAAAGCAUUUCAGCAAACAACAUUUUGCUUAUGGUCAGCCCUAUUGUUAUCUUCAUACUUCACACUACCUAAUGUGGCUGAGGGAUUGGUCUUGGGGGCACUUAAUAACAAAGAUACCCCACUCUUGCAUGUGCAUCUUUUGAUGCAUUGAUUUAUUCACUGAUCCAAUGAACCAGCAAUAUAAAUUCUAAAUAAGUAAAUUCUACUUGACUAUAAUAUGGUAGGGAACUUAAUUAACAACAUCAAUAAUUUACAUGCAUUGUUGAGUCUGGAAAAGCUUCAUUCAACUAAACCUUAUCUCUGUUGAAGCAAGAUUGGAAAGGCAGCAAAAAUAUAGCUUAUACUCUCAGAUACAUAAUGAAAUCCUCAGGAAAAAAUCCUCUCUGACAUUAAUUCCAGAAACAAAGUCUAUAUCCUCUGAAUAACUGGUUUGUUUCAUAAAAGACAUAGCAUAUUGGUUAGAUGACCCUCCACAAUGGCUGCUAGAAGGCUGAGCCAAUUUUAUGCCUCACUUGUCCUAUUUUUUUUUUUUUAAUCUUUGCAUCUGGCUCCCUUCCACACUCUAAUUUUUUCUCUGAUUUUUCCUCUCACACUUGUAAUACAUCAUAUAUGUUUUGUUGGUAUUUAUGUAACCUUUUUCUAUUCUAAAUUUUUUUGACAUUAAAAUGUUUUCCUACUUGAAAUACCUACAAGAUGUCUGAGGGUGGGGAGGUUAGAGAAAGGACCCGAGAACUCAGAUACAUGUCCCCGUAAUUUCCUACAAAAUGUGUUUGUCUCCGAUUUUUCAUUGGGUUGGACAGCUGAUUUGAUUCCCAUACUUUUAGCCAACUUUACAGAAUAAUACAUUUUGUAGAAUCAAAAUUUCAGAGUAUAUGAAAACUCAAGACAUGUAGAGAAUCUCGAAUAAAAUCGUGAAUAAAGCUCUUUUGAAGCCUAGGACAAGUCUUGAUUAAAUCUUAAACACACUUAGUAAGAAGAAUUAUAGGUUUCUAAACCUUUUUCAAAAAUGUGUCAAAAUAGUUAUGGUAACAAUAAGGCGGAAUGUGGCAUAAUUAGACUAUUUGUCAAAAUAUUGUACAUAUUUGCAGGUAAAGAAACAAAAACCUUGGACCUGAUUAAACAUUAAGAGGAUUUUAAUAAAAAUCAGGACAUGACCAGUAGCAGUGAAAUUGUGCUCCUUUGGUAUCUUUGAUAAUUAAAUUCAUCGUUGUUGAUAAUAGAAGUAGUAGGGGAAGACUGGUGAAGAUUUCAGUUGAUUGAGUAGCUUUAAACACAG